UACAGAGGUCUCGAGCGUUGUUCGGAUUCAUUGGGCGUAAAGGGUGCGUAGGUGGCGCUGUAAGUCGGGUGUGAAAUCCUGAGGCUUAACCUCAGAACUGCAUUCGAUACUGCGGCGCUUGAGGACUGGAGAGGAGACUGGAAUUCAUGGUGUAGCAGUGAAAUGCGUAGAGAUCAUGAGGAAGACCAGUGGCGAAGGCGGGUCUCUGGACAGGUCCUGACACUGAGGCACGAAGGCCAGGGGAGCAAACGGG
rnacentral:rRNA from 1 species